rnacentral:lncRNA from 1 species
UAAUUGGUGUCUAGGAAAGCAUGAAAGGUGGUUACUUAAUUAGGACCUUACUCUCUGAGUAAGGGGAGCCUCCCACCUGCUUACCUGGCCAAUUGUUCGAUUACCUCUUAUGAAGAGCUCAAGUUGCAAAUACUAAGACCUGAUUAACCAAUAUUAAGUCAAUAGGUCUUCCACUAUAGUAGAGCUGCUAAGGUCUUUCUGAUGUUGAUUUGUCUCGGCUGGACACAGUGGGCAAGUUGCAUCGGGGGGCUGGACCUCUCUAUAGACAUGAGAUGUUGUA